GAGCUGUAUUUGUUUGAGGUAUCUGCAUGGUGAGCAGAUGCCAGCUCUGACUUAUUAUGAUGAACAGCGCAGUGAGGCUGUAGUGGACAGAAAUCAUGGUAAUGUAUGUCAGGUGUGCUUGUUUUGCUUAAAAUUUAUACUCUGGAUUUCACCGUGGCUGCAAGAUAUCUAAAAUUUAAUGUGUUGUCACCAUUAUUCAUCCUCCGACUAGCCAAUAAAUUAAGCAGGAAAAGCUCUUCCUGAGUUAUACAUGCAUGAAGUGCUUGUUAUACCCAGGAGACACAAAUCCCAGCAAACUCCAGACGCCACAACUUAUACAAGUUUCUGCUGGGUUUAAAUGAGGCAACGCCGCCUCUUGGAGCUCAUCCGUAAACCGUGAUUGCAGGUAUUUGAAGUUAACCGAGGAGUCGGCUUCAGUUAUCUGAGUUUAGAGCUGAACAGAGACAGUUCUUAGAGAUUACGCAAAUGGACGUCAAACCAAAGCGCCUGCACAUGCAUCCGCAGCAGAGAAGUGGAAGACCUGCAGGAAAGAAAUGUUGAUAGCUGCUUAAUCAAAGCAACACUGCUGCAGUGUGUUGGUGAAUUCAGACAGUUUUAGAGGAAGAUAGAGGCACGGAGGAUGCAGCGAUGACUCUGGAGAACCCAAACAGCCUGAACAACUGCAGCGCGCAGGUGUUUCUCCUCUUCCUGAGCAACCCUGAACUCUCCAAAGACACAUUAGCACAAUCCCUUUUUGGCUGUAUAACAGUAUGCUUACUCUAAGACACUGGGCGUUAAUAUUUUUAAUUAAAUUACUUGAUUUAUAAAGGAUUUGUUUUGGGGGUUUGGGUACUUUAGAUCAUGGAUAAAUCAUUUCUCAUAGAGAUCGAUGUGUAUGAGUCAUAGAAAUGCAGUUGUACAUUCCUUGUUCAUUCAUAAUUUAUGUUCAUUUUGCCUUCCACAUCCAUAAAUAUUUAAGUGCUUAAAACAUAAAUAAUCAUUAAUAAUUCAUUACAUUCAUAUGGCGGAUCACUGAAAAACGCUUGUGCACAC